GCCCACUUAGCAGCACAUGCACUAAAAUUGGAAUGAAACAGAGAAGGUUAGCAUGGCCCCUGUGCAAAGAUGACACACAUUCAUGAAGCGUUGCAGAAGGGG